rnacentral:misc_RNA from 1 species
UCGCGGCUUAUCACCGGCAGUCCCUCUAGAGUGCCCAACUGAAUGAUGGCAACUAGAGGCGAGGGUUACGCUCGUUGCGGGACUUAACCCAACAUCUCACGACACGAGCUGACGACAGCCAUGCAGCAUCUGUGCAUGAGCUCCGAAGAGCACCUCUGAUCUCUCAGAGGCUUCCCAUGCAUGUCAAGCCCAGGUAAGGUUCUUCGCGUUGCGUCGAAUUAAACCACAUGCUCCACCGCUUGUGCGGGCCCCCGUCAAUUCCUUUGAGUUUCAACCUUGCGGUCGUACUCCCCAGGCGGGGUACUUCCUGCGUUAGCGCCGGCACCCAGAGGGUCGCUCCCCCAGGCACCUAGUACCCAUCGUUUACGGCGUGGACUAC